rfam:Myotis lucifugus cont2.9122, whole genome shotgun sequence.
UCAGAGGGGGUGGGGUCCCUCAGCCCGGAUUGUGAGAAGGUGCAGGCCAGACCGAGGGACCCCACUGGUGCAUG